ACUGCCCUUCUCUUGGGGUUGCACUACCGUCGGGUGAGUGGUUAGUGAGAACAGGGCUGCUACGAUCUGCUGACCAGCUCGCAUCAACCAAAGCUCCACUUUACCUUGGAGCAAGUUUUGGAAAA
ensembl:snRNA